UUGUUCUUUACCGCUGAAAGUGCGGUAUUCUAACGUUAGUUUAUGGAGGGCUGGUCGGCCUAAUGUGUUGAGAGCAGACAUAUAUAGAAUCUUAAUCUGAUGUCUUCGUAAAUUCAAAGCUUUUUAUAUAGAACUAUUAUUAUACUGUACCAAACUUGGUUAUACUGAUCUACAUAGACAAAUGAUUUGCCAUGAACUGAGGCUGCUUUGCCUGCUUAGUGUUACCCAGACUUUGCUACGUCACUUUGAUGAAUAAAUGUUAUGAAAUCAAGACGAGUUAUCUGUUGUCGUUGUACGUGUCGACCGCUACCCCACACAAAUAGUUAGGGAGGCCGGAGCCUUUUACAUUUUCAUUAAAGACAAGCAUAGAGGAAAGAUAUGAUGGUGCAUACCCUUGUAGACACUUAUAAAUAAUUAUAAGUAACUGAUUUCUCCAACUUUCAUUGAGUUUACUCCAUUUAAAUGUGUUCAUUAUUUCAUUUAGUGAGUCAUACAGAAAGUACAAUUCUACCUAGUCUAUUUAGUAAAAUUUGCAGAGUAUUUAGAUAUUGUAUAUUGCAACAUUAUACAUAAUAAUUUAUAUUUGAUAUGCCUAUAAAUCAGUAUGUUCAUAUCGUUA